rnacentral:rRNA from 1 species
GACGAACGCUGGCGGCGUGCUUAACACAUGCAAGUCGAACGCUGAAGCUUGGUGCUUGCACUGGGUGGAUGAGUGGCGAACGGGUGAGUAAUAAGUGAGUAACCUGCCCUUGACUCUGGGAUAAGCCUGGGAAACUGGGUCUAAUACUGGAUACGACAUGUCACCGCAUGGUGGUGUGUGGAAAGGGUUUUACUGGUUUUGGAUGGGCUCACGGCCUAUCAGCUUGUUGGUGGGGUAAUGGCUCACCAAGGCGACGACGGGUAGCCGGCCUGAGAGGGUGACCGGCCACACUGGGACUGAGACACGGCGCAGACGCCUACGGGAGGCAGCAGUGGGGAAUAUUGCACAAUGGGCGGAAGCCUGAUGCAGCGACGCCGCGUGAGGGAUGACGGCCUUCGGGUUGUAAACCUCUUUCAGCACGGAAGAAGCGAAAGUGACGGUACGUGCAGAAGAAGCGCCGGCUAACUACGUG